GUUGGUGGCCAAAGCGAAGAGGAAACGUCCGAUCCCAUUCCGAACUCGGUAACUAAGCUCUUCAGCGAUCUGGUGUGUACUCUGCGCAAGCAGGGGAAAACCAGGACGCUACCAACU
rnacentral:rRNA from 1 species